CAAGCUAAGUAACUAACUAAGUAUACCAGUGACAAGGUAACAAAGUGAUGAGGUAACACAGUGACAAGGUAAAGUGACAAGGUAGCAAGCUAAGUAACUAAGUAACCAAGUAUACCAGUGACAAGGUAACAAAGUGACCAGUAACAAGCUAAGUAACUAAGUAAGUAUACCAGUCACAAGGUAACAAAGUGACGAGGUAACAAAGUGACAAGGUAACAAAGUGACAAGGUAGGAAGCUAAGUAACAAAGUAUACCAGUGACAUGGUAACAAGUGAAAAGGUAACAAUGUGAAAA